rnacentral:lncRNA from 1 species
AGUGGUACCUGUUGGCUGGCUCAUGGGGUCCUUUCCUUUUUCCAUUCCCUGGAAGCCGUCAACUGGACUGAAUACAACAUCUUUGCGUCUUUUUCUUCACCCUCCCCACAUGCUUGCAUCUCCCAGACUCCUAGGGUUAAUCCCCAGGACAACCUUGCUUUGAAAGAAAAAAUGUGGUGAGCCUACUUGAAGAUUUGGAUUCCAAGAGGCCUCUGUCUGUCCUGCCUCAGCCAGAGCCAGACAGCCAGCUCAAGGAGAUGGGCAAUUUACAGAGAAAGCAGCAAUGUGACUGGAGUGAUUUGCACCCGGAUGCCUAGACUCGCCAUCUGCUCAAAGACUGCUCAGAAAGCCCUCCCAUGCAUUCCCCUGCUGCAUACCAGCCCACUCUGCCUGCAGCUGCUGUCUGCAGGACUUCAUAUCUAUGCCACACUGUGUAAAAGCUGUGCUUCAAGAAAUCACAAAAACAUUUUCCUGCACCUACUACACAGCCUGAGUGCGGCAUAAGUUGACCUUGCUUGCUAAGAAAUGGGGCAAGAAAUGCUUUUUUGUGUGUGUCAUGUCUGUUUGUUUUUCAAUUAAGAGAGGAAAGCAUUAGGCAGAUGGAAUGUACAUGUGAGGAUGAGGAGACAGAAAACAAGUAGCCCUUUCCAUCAAGAUAGAGGGUUUUCUGGGGUUGCUGGCUAUUGAAUGUCACUCCUGAUUUCUCUUUCCAAGGCACUGUACCACCAGCCUACUGAGAUUGUGUGGGAGCUUUCAUGGGGGUUGUAUUUCACUGAUGAAAAUAAAUUUUUUGCAUAA